rnacentral:rRNA from 1 species
UACAGAGGUCCCAAGCGUUGUUCGGAUUCAUUGGGCGUAAAGGGUGCGUAGGCGGCGCGGUAAGUCGGGUGUGAAAUCUCGGAGCUUAACUCCGAAACUGCAUUCGAUACUGCCGUGCUUGAGGACUGGAGAGGAGACUGGAAUUUACGGUGUAGCGGUGAAAUGCGUAGAUAUCGUAAGGAAGACCAGUGGCGAAGGCGGGUCUCUGGACAGUUCCUGACGCUGAGGCACGAAGGCUAGGGGAGCAAGCGGG